GGGAUAACGCAUUUUGCUAUCCCCUGUGAAUAACGCAAUGACAUGUAGGAUAAUUUUUCUACGUGUCAUUGUGUUAUUGGUCGGGGAUAGCAAAACAGUGCUAUCCC
rfam:Prunus persica cultivar Lovell chromosome G3, whole genome shotgun sequence.